rnacentral:rRNA from 1 species
GAUCCUGGCUCAGGAUGAACGCUGGCGGCGUGCUCAACACAUGCAAGUCGAACGAAGCACUCUAUUUGAUUUUCUUCGGAAAUGAAGAUUUUGUGACUGAGUGGCGGACGGGUGGGUAACGCGUGGGUAACCUGCCUCAUACAGGGGGAUAACAGUUGGAAACGACUGCUAGUACCGCAUAAGCGCACAGGAUUGCAUGAUCCGGUGUGAAAAACUCCGGUGGUAUGAGAUGGACCCGCG